rnacentral:rRNA from 1 species
CCGCNNAGAAGCAAACGGGUGUAGUCAGCUGCAAGCCUUAAGAAAUAGGUUGGUCAGAAUGGCGUGAGUCUGAGCACAUAGAGCUGCCAGGUGGGUCCGACUAUAUGUCGGGUUCGGCUCGCAAGGGUCGGAUGCGCGAAACGUUUCGGCGUUGCGUGCCUGCUUGUCAGUUGCUCUACUGGCCCUCUAAAUUUCUUUUGGCGUAUGUCACGACCGUCUUUGCUGUCGGUCUGCUCCACUUAAACCGUUCCGUGAGUAGUUCCGUGCUACUUGCGUUGCGGGGGCAGGUAGCUGAUCUGGUCUCGGCUGGAUUGGUGUAAUUGCUGAGUGGGGUGGUACCUGUAACUGUGCAGUAAGACGGGGCUGGCGGUGCAUUGUUGCCGUGUGUGCUAAAGUGUGUCGGCGUGGUUGGCGUAUGGCUACUCGUUGCUGUUAAUUACAGCCUUGUGGUUGCCCGACUACGGUUUGAUGCGCGGCUGUGCAUGGUCAAUCUUUGCGUUGUGCCUAUAGUCUGUGGCGUAGUGGUA